AUACGUAGGUGACAAGCGUUAUCCGGAUUUACUGGGCGUAAAGGGCGUGUAGGCGGUCUUGCAAGUCAGAAGUGAAAUUCCUGAGCUCAACUCGGGCGCUGCUUCUGAAACUGCAGGACUUGAGUGCUGGAGGGGAUAGCGGAAUUCCCGGUGUAGCGGUGAAAUGCGUAGAGAUCGGGAGGAACACCAGUGGCGAAGGCGACUUCCUGGCACAAGACUGACGCUCAUGUGCGAAAGCUAGGUUAGCAAACGGGAUUAGAUACCCCGUGAGUCCUAGCCGUAAACGAUGGAUAAGAGGUGUGGGUGUCGCAGGGCAUCCGUGCCGCAGCUAACGCGUUAAGUAUCCCGCCUGGGGACUACGGUCGCAAGACUGAAACUCAAAUGAAUUGGCGGGG
rnacentral:rRNA from 1 species